CACGCCGUAAACGGUGGGCACUAGGUGUGGGACCCAUUCCACGGGUUCCGUGCCGAAGCUAACGCAUUAAGUGCCCCGCCUGGGGAGUACGGCCGCAAGGCUAAAACUCAAAGGAAUUGACGGGGGCCCGCACAAGCGGCGGAGCAUGCGGAUUAAUUCGAUGCAACGCGAAGAACCUUACCUGGGUUUGACAUAUACCGGAAACAUCUGGAGACAGGUGCCCCGCAAGGUCGGUAUACAGGUGG
rnacentral:rRNA from 1 species